AUGCUCUUGUAGUAAUUCCUUCCAACGACAAUUUAGAAGGAACCUGAUAAGAGCGAUGAAGCUGCGUGUGAAAGUAUAAUGGAACCUAAAGACCAGUACAUUUAGCUUUUGAAACCUAAAAAAUUAUAGUAGGAUGAAACCCAUUGGAAAAGAAAGAGAAUACAACGAAAAUGAAAGGAAAAAUAAAUGUCGGGAAGUGAGGGGUUAUGGGGAUAAAAACGGCUUAUGUCGAUUUCUGGCUAAACUACAAGUCUUACGGAAAUAAGGCAUCACAAACUACCUACGAACAUCUUGCGAAAUAUUUGCAGCGUAUUAUUUGCACUGAAAUGUCUCAAGUAAAAAAAAAGCGUCAAUUACACCAUUGGACAACAAGUUAAAAAAAUAUUAGAAGUCGUCCAGCAGUCAGGAGAUGCACCGAGUAAACAAAGAGCUUGGAAUAUUAUCGGUGACGCCUUGCCAUACAAAGACAUUGCGACAUUUGUAGUUUUAUAAAUCUUUAAAAGAUAACGAGGAAAAACGCAAACCUUUGGUA